rnacentral:rRNA from 1 species
GACGAACGCUGGCGGCGUGCCUAAUACAUGCAAGUAGAACGCUGAAGCUUGGUGCUUGCACCGAGCGGAUGAGUUGCGAACGGGUGAGUAACGCGUAGGUAACCUGCCUGGUAGCGGGGGAUAACUAUUGGAAACGAUAGCUAAUACCGCAUAAGAGUAGAUGUUGCAUGACAUUUGCUUAAAAGGUGCAGUUGCAUCACUACCAGAUGGACCUGCGUUGUAUUAGCUAGUUGGUGGGGUAACGGCUCACCAAGGCGACGAUACAUAGCCGACCUGAGAGGGUGAUCGGCCACACUGGGACUGAGACACGGCCCAGACUCCUACGGGAGGCAGCAGUAGGGAACCUUCGGCAAUGGACGGAAGUCUGACCGAGCAACGCCGCGUGAGUGAAGAAGGUUUUCGGAUCGUAAAGCUCUGUUGUAAGAGAAGAACGAGUGUGAGAGUGGAAAGUUCACACUGUGACGGUAUCUUACCAGAAAGGGACGGCUAACUACGUGCCAGCAGCCGCGGUAAUACGUAGGUCCCGAGCGUUGUCCGGAUUUAUUGGGCGUAAAGCGAGCGCAGGCGGUUAGAUAAGUCUGAAGUUAAAGGCUGUGGCUUAACCAUAGUACGCUUUGGAAACUGUUUAACUUGAGUGCAAGAGGGGAGAGUGGAAUUCCAUGUGUAGCGGUGAAAUGCGUAGAUAUAUGGAGGAACACCGGUGGCGAAAGCGGCUCUCUGGCUUGUAACUGACGCUGAGGCUCGAAAGCGUGGGGAGCAAACAGG